rnacentral:rRNA from 2 species
GUUAUAUGGUCAAGCGAAUAAGCGCACACGGUGGAUGCCUAGGCGGUCAGAGGCGAUGAAGGACGUGGUAGCCUGCGAAAAGUGUCGGGGAGCUGGCAACAAGCUUUGAUCCGGCAAUGUCCGAAUGGGGAAACCCACUGCUUCGGCAGUAUCCUGCAGUGAAUUCAUAGCUGCUGGAAGCGAACCCGGUGAACUGAAAUAUCUAAGUAACCGGAGGAAAAGAAAUCAACCGAGAUUCCCUAAGUAGUGACGAGCGAACGGGGAGCAGCCCAUUAAGCUGGAAUGGCUUUAGAAAAACAAUCUGGAAAGAUUGGCCAUAGAAGGUGAUAGCCCUGUAUUUAAAAGGGCCACUCCAGUGAAGACGAGUAGGGCGGGGCACGUGAAACCCUGUCUGAAUAUGGGGGGACCAUCCUCCAAGGCUAAAUACUCCUGACCGACCGAUAGUGAACCAGUACCGUGAGGGAAAGGCGAAAAGAACCCCGGAGAGGGGAGUGAAAUAGAUCCUGAAACCGUGUGCGUACAAGCAGUAGGAGCUCGCAAGAGUGACUGCGUACCUUUUGUAUAAUGGGUCAGCGACUUACUGUUCGUGGCAAGCUUAACCGUAUAGGGGAGGCGAAGGGAAACCGAGUCUGAUAAGGGCGCAUAGUCGCGGGCAGUAGACCCGAAACCGGGUGAUCUAGUCAUGGCCAGGGUGAAGGUGCCGUAACAGGUACUGGAGGCCCGAACCCACGUCUGUUGCAAAAGACGGGGAUGAGCUGUGAUUAGGAGUGAAAAGCUAAUCGAACCCGGAGAUAGCUGGUUCUCCUCGAAAGCUAUUUAGGUAGCGCCUCGGACGAAUACUACUGGGGGUAGAGCACUGUUAUGGCUAGGGGGUCAUCGCGACUUACCAAACCAUUGCAAACUCCGAAUACCAGUACGUACUAUCCGGGAGACACACGGCGGGUGCUAACGUCCGUCGUGAAAAGGGAAACAACCCAGACCCACAGCUAAGGUCCCAAAUUCACUGCUAAGUGGAAAACGAUGUGGAAAGGCAUAGACAGCCAGGAGGUUGGCUUAGAAGCAGCCACCCUUUAAAGAAAGCGUAAUAGCUCACUGGUCGAGUCGGUCUGCGCGGAAGAUUUAACGGGGCUAAGCAGUGAACCGAAGCUUGGGGUGCAUAAAACUUGUUUUAUGCGCGGUAGAGGAGCGUUCCGUAAGCCUGCGAAGGUGGAUUGAGAAGUCUGCUGGAGGUAUCGGAAGUGCGAAUGCUGACAUGAGUAACGAUAAUGCGGGUGAAAAGCCCGCACGCCGAAAGCCCAAGGUUUCCUUGCGCAACGUUAAUCGACGCAGGGUUAGUCGGUCCCUAAGGCGAGGGCGAAAGCCGUAGUCGAUGGGAAGCAGGUUAAUAUUCCUGCACCUCGCGUGAGUGCGAUGGAGGGACGGAGAAGGUUAGGUGUACCGGGCGUUGGUUGUCCCGGGGAAAGGCGGUAGGUUUGGAUCUUUGGCAAAUCCGGGAUCCUUUAAGACCGAGCACCGAGACGAGCCUUUAUGGCGAAGUCACUGAUACCACGCUUCCAGGAAAAGCUCCUAAGCUUCAGCUCACGAAGACCGUACCGUAAACCGACACAGGUGGGUAGGAUGAGAAUUCUCAGGCGCUUGAGAGAACUCGGGUGAAGGAACUAGGCAACAUGGCACCGUAACUUCGGGAGAAGGUGCACCCUUUUUGGUGGCUCAUGCGAGCUAUAGCUGAAGAGGGUCGCAGAAACCAGGCCGCUGCGACUGUUUAUCAAAAACACAGCACUCUGCAAACACGAAAGUGGACGUAUAGGGUGUGACGCCUGCCCGGUGCUGGAAGGUUAAUUGAUGGGGUCAGCCGCAAGGCGAAGCUCUUGAUCGAAGCCCCAGUAAACGGCGGCCGUAACUAUAACGGUCCUAAGGUAGCGAAAUUCCUUGUCGGGUAAGUUCCGACCUGCACGAAUGGCGUAACGACAGCGGCGCUGUCUCCACCCGAGACUCAGUGAAAUUGAAAUCGCUGUGAAGAUGCAGCGUUCCCGUGGCAAGACGGAAAGACCCCGUGAACCUUUACUAUAGCUUUACACUGAACGUUGAGUUCGUCUGUGUAGGAUAGGUGGGAGGCUAUGAAACUGUGGCGCUAGCUGCAGUGGAGCCAUCCUUGAAAUACCACCCUGUCGUGCUUGACGUUCUAACCUAGAUCCGUUAUCCGGAUCAGGGACCGUGUAUGGUGGGUAGUUUGACUGGGGCGGUCUCCUCCUAAAGAGUAACGGAGGAGCACGAAGGUACGCUCAGCGCGGUCGGACAUCGCGCACUGUGUGCAAAGGCAUAAGCGUGCUUGACUGCAAGAUCGACGGAUCAAGCAGGUACGAAAGUAGGUCUUAGUGAUCCGGUGGUUCUGUAUGGAAGGGCCAUCGCUCAACGGAUAAAAGGUACUCCGGGGAUAACAGGCUGAUACCGCCCAAGAGUUCAUAUCGACGGCGGUGUUUGGCACCUCGAUGUCGGCUCAUCACAUCCUGGGGCUGUAGUCGGUCCCAAGGGUAUGGCUGUUCGCCAUUUAAAGUGGUACGCGAGCUGGGUUCAGAACGUCGUGAGACAGUUCGGUCCCUAUCUGCCAUGGGCGUUGGAAGUUUGAGAGGGGCUGCUCCUAGUACGAGAGGACCGGAGUGGACGAACCUCUGGUGUUCCGGUUGUCACGCCAGUGGCAUUGCCGGGUAGCUAUGUUCGGAAGCGAUAACCGCUGAAAGCAUCUAAGCGGGAAGCGCGCCUCAAGAUGAGACUUCCCGGGGCACAAGCCCCCUAAAGGAACCAUAUAGACUAUGUGGUUGAUAGGUCAGGUGUGUAAGUACAGCAAUGUAUUGAGCUAACUGAUACUAAUGAUCCGUGCGGCUUGACCAUAUAACCU